rnacentral:rRNA from 1 species
UACGUAGGUGACCAGCGUUGUCCGGAUUUACUGGGCGUAAAGAGCGCGCAGGCGGUCGUUCAAGUCGAGUGUGAAAGCCCCCGGCUCAACUGGGGAGGGUCACUCGAUACUGAUCGACUUGAAGGCAGGAGAGGGAAGCGGAAUUCCCGGUGUAGUGGUGAAAUGCGUAGAUAUCGGGAGGAACACCGGUGGCGAAGGCGGCUCUCUGGACCACAACUGACGCUGAGGCGCGAAAGCGUGGGGAGCAAACAGG